rnacentral:rRNA from 1 species
ACGGGUGAGUAACACGUAGGCAACCUGCCCUCAAGUUUGGGACAACUACCGGAAACGGUAGCUAAUACCGAAUAAUUGUUUUCUUCGCCUGAAGGGAGCUGGAAAGACGGAGCAAUCUGUCACUUGGGGAUGGGCCUGCGGCGCAUUAGCUAGUUGGUGAGGUAACGGCUCACCAAGGCGACGAUGCGUAGCCGACCUGAGAGGGUGAUCGGCCACACUGGGACUGAGACACGGCCCAGACUCCUACGGGAGGCAGCAGUAGGGAAUCUUCCGCAAUGGGCGAAAGCCUGACGGAGCAAUGCCGCGUGAGUGAUGAAGGUUUUCGGAUCGUAAAGCUCUGUUGCCAGGGAAGAACGCUUGGGAGAGUAACUGCUCUCAAGGUGACGGUACCUGAGAAGAAAGCCCCGGCUAACUACGUGCCAGCAGCCGCGGUAAUACGUAGGGGGCAAGCGUUGUCCGGAAUUAUUGGGCGUAAAGCGCGCGCAGGCGGUCAUUUAAGUCUGGUGUUUAAUCCCGGGGCUCAACCCCGGAUCGCACUGGAAACUGGGUGACUUGAGUGCAGAAGAGGAGAGUGGAAU